AGUAAUGAGAUUCUCAGGUAUGCUCCAAUGCUCUUCUAAUUCCACUUUAUUCCUUCUUCGUAUUCUUCUUCUGUCCAAUGCCUUGUUCUUCCACUUCUUCUUUAAUUUCUUGCUCUUACUUAGAAUGGAGAUAUUGAGUUUUGUGAGUGUGCCCAGAAUGUGUUAGAAAGCCAUCCUUCCUCCCUAAUGAUUGGCAAUGAUUGCCUCAUUUAUAGAGCAAUCCAAGGGGGUAGUUUAGGGAAUUGAAUCUGAGUUGUUAGAUCAUGAUUUAUCCAGCUGGAAAUUAAGUGAAUUUCUGGAAAUGAAAUUUGAGCUAUAAUAUGGAAUUAGGUCACGUGGCAUUUAGCUGUGCACAUGAUUUAUUCCCUUUAAUUCAUUUGCAACUGAUUUUCCAUUUAGCUUUGGAUAUUUGAACUGAAUUGCAUCAAAUUGGUUAGUAUAUGUUAUUGGUUCGGUUUACACUCCUACUAGGUCUCGACCUGUUUUGCUUUUGGUUAGCAAAAAAAGAGUAGUUGGAAAUGGUUUGUUCUCGUUGUGUGACAUGUCAUGUAUGAGAAACUUGGUUGCUAAUUAUGCUCGGACUGUUAUGAUUAAUUUGGAAGUUGAAACAGCUAUGCUAUAGUGAUUUUUGUCAAGAUUAGCUUCUUAACUAGUUGAACUUUUGUUUAAUCAAAUGAAUGUGUUGUAAUGCUCAGGACAAAAUGCAACGACACAAAAUUGAAUUGCAAUUUCAGCAUGCUAGUGAAAUAUGAAUGCAUUAUUAGUAAUUGAGAAUUGAUGAUCAUUAGUCAGGACUUGCUAAGGAUGGUUGUGAGUAGUCAAUUAGCAUUGUUUAGGUUAGUUUAAAUUCUGAAUGAUUGUUGUUAGCUAACUUUAUUAGUGAUUCACUUGUUAUAUCAAUGCUAUUUUGUUAUGUUAUCAUAGCUUGUUAAGUUGUAGUUUGAAACAACAUGGAGUUAGUGAAUGUUAAUCAUUGCAUGCCAUGGUUUAUGUUUAUGUUGCUUAGCAUGGUCUGCAAGGUUUGUGUAUGAUGCACAAGUUUUAUCCAUGAUUGUUGUUGUGAAUCGAUGCAAUGGCUUGUGGUUUGGAUUUUUCUGCUGCAAUUUUGUUGUUAUGCCUUAUUAGAACCAGCUUGUGAUGACUUGAAUUGAUUGCCAUUGCUUGAUGUAUUUUGUGGGAUGGAUGAGGUCUUGUCUUGCAGCCCUGGGAGUCAGUUUGCAGGUACAUGUUUAUGGCUGCAUGAUGUCUAUAAAUGUUGAUAUGGCUAGACUGUUUUGCACCGUCUUGGCUUAUUCGCAUUGUUCUGAAUUUGGUUGCACAGGUUUACAACAUGAUGAUAUUGUGCAGACCUUGGUUUCAUGUGACUUUACAGGGUCAUAUUGUGUUGCAAGUACUUCUGAAAUGCAUACUGAUUGCAGUAUAGUGGCUUGGCCCUUUAGCUUUAUGCUUAACUGCUAGUUCUUGACUGAUGCG
rnacentral:lncRNA from 1 species